UGCUUUUUGUACAGUAUCUCUGAGGUGCUGAUAGCUCGUGGAACCCAUCUCAGAGGCUUCUGUGUCAUUUGAGAACCACAGAAAUCCAUUCCCAGUGCCCUCUGGCCCCUUUCCUAGGACGAGACCUGCCUCACCUCCCUCCCACCUUAAGUGGCUCUCCGCCUAAUCUCGCAACUGUGCGCCUCCUGCGGGUUUCCACAGUCUCUUCUUGGUGGAGCUUACCUUUCUCUUUCCGGGUUUCAUGGCUGGCGCCUUCUUCCUUGUCUUUUCCUUUUAUAAUGGUUGUCUCUCCCUUAGUGCAUCUGCUAACUUCCUUCCCUCCCUCAUCCACUGCCGCCUCCUAGUGUGGCUUUGGGGUUUGUUUGGGUUUUGCUGUUUGCCUUUAAUAGGCUCAGAGCUGGCUGGAUCCUUAACCAACCUGAACAAUGUCAUCGUGCUGUGGUGCUGACACAUGGAAUGGGAAUUUCCGUGUGUGAAUGGAAAACAGGCGCACGCACGGAGGGCUCUGGCUGACAUAGUUUGAGCUCCUCCUUUGUCUUCUGGCCUGUCUUUAAAGCCAGAUUUAAUUUAAUUGCAAAAUAAAUGGAGAAGAAUAGUAUCCAGAUCUCACCACCUAAACAGCAAACCAGUGAAAGCUGUACCCAUCAGAUUUAGGAUAAACCAACAGGGACUGCUCCUCACAAAAUAAUUUGUAUGUAGUUUCCUUACGUAGACUUUUUCCACUUUAUCCCGGGCAGAAUUUCAAACCUACAGAAAAGUGGAAAGAAACGUCACUACGGCUGCACCCAGAUUCAAUGGUUGUGAUUAUUUUGCUGUAUUUGCUGUGUAGGAUCUUUUCCCCCUACCCGGCUUAGAUUCUCUCACCAGGGAGCCUAAAUUAAUUACUAAAUUAGACUGGCCAAAGACAGAUCAUCAAGAGAGGAGAAAUGUGUUAGCGCGUGCACAGCACACGUAGAGGUGGAACACGGCGGUUGCAUGACGCAGAGUGGCGUCGGAGCCCGGCCACGGGGUUGCAUGACGCAGAGGGAGUCCCAAACUGGCCAUGGGGUUGCAUGACGCAGAGGGAGUCCCAAACUGGCCAUGGGGUUGCAUGACGCAGAGGGACUCCCAAACUGGCCAUGGGGUUGCAUGACGCAGAGUGGGGUCGGAGCCCAGCCACAGGGUUGCAUGACACAGAGGGGCGUCAGAGCCCAGCCACGGGGUUGCAUGAUGCAGAGGGGGUCCCAAACCGGCCACGGGGUUACAUGAUGCAGAGGGGGGUCGGAGCCUGGCCACGGGGUUGCAUGACGCAGAGUGGGGUUGGAGCCUGGCCACAGGGUUGCAUGACACGGGGGGGGUCAGAGCCCAGCCACUGCAGGGACCUUGCUUUAUUGAGCUUCACUUUACCACACUUCGCAGAUGCCGUGUCUUUACAGAUUGAAGGUUUGUGGCAGCCCUGCACCAAGCAAGUCUGUUGGCAUGAUUUUGCCAACAGCAUGUUCUCACUUCGUUUCUGUGUGUCAUAUUUGGGCGUUGGCAACAACCCUUCUACUUUCUGUUUCCAUGAUUUUGGCUGCUCUAGAUCUCAUGUAAGUGGAAUCAUAUAGUAAUUGUCCUUUUGUGACUGGCUUAUUUCAGUUAGCAUGGUGUUCUCAAGAUUUACCUAUGUUAUAGUCCAGGUCAAAAUUUCCUUCCUUUAGGCUGAAUUAUAUUUCAUUGUUCUUUCUAGGUUUCUUAUCUAAUCUACAGCAGUAUCUACUUUUGUUUUCCCUGUGGUGUUGACUUUUUGAAUAGAUUGGGCCACUUGUCUUGUUGAACAUUCCACAUUUUAGAUUUGUCUGUUUCGUUGUGGUGUCAUUUAGCUUAUUCUUCUAUCUCCUGUAGUUCCUUUCACUGGAAGUGAGGGUUAAAGGGUCAGUUUGACCCAGGUAGAAGCUUUUUGGCAGGAAUACAUUGUAGUGGAUGCUGUGAACUCACAGUGCAUUGCCUGGGGGCUGCAAGGUCAGGUUGUCCUAUGAUUCAUGAUGGUGAGUUUUACCAUUUGUUAAGGAAUGACUACCAGAUCCCUCUACUGCAGAGUUUAUUUUCUUCUUAUGAAUAUUAAGCAUCUGAGCAGUGGCAUGCUGUGUGGUGUUUUGUACCCUAAUAAGCUUCCACCCUAUGGUUUUAGAGGCUUCACUUUGAUCAUGUAUUUCAUUGGUUAUUGCAAAGUCAUGACUGUCUAAUUGUUCCCUCUUUUACAUUUAUUAGUUGGCAUUCCUCUUAAAGAAAAGGGUUUUGUCUUUCUUUUUGUAGUAGACAGAGUCAAUGAUUUAUAUUUAUUUAGUGUAUUGUCAAUUCAGUCGUUAUCUUUUUGGCGUUGAAAUCAUCCUGGAUUUAGCCAGGGAGGGUUCUUCUGAUUGGCUCCAGCCCCCCAGGGACAGGCCCCUUGGCCUCUCUUGUGCCCUCCUGCACCUGCCUGCCUUUUGCUUUCCUACCCAGACCUGCUGUUUCUCUAAGCAGCCUCCCUGCUUUUGAGGGGAAAUGGGAUUUUGAAGGCAAGAUUUGGGCACUGCGAUGUUGAUCGCUACCAGAGUGACACUGCAUCUAGGCUUUGUCAGGGGUCAGAGCUAGGGGAGAGGAAGAUAAACCUGUACAUACAAAAUAGAUUCAUUAUUUGGGUUACUUUUGAUAUAUCCAAAUAAAAGUUAAUAUCACAGGGCUUUUUAGUUUUAGCUAUUUUCCUCUCUUACAGUAAACAUCUUAUAAGAGCAUAUCAACUUUUUGUUUUAUCUUAAAAUACAAAAUAAAUUUAAAAACUUAAUACCAAUAUUGCUGUUAAAACUAUUGAGUAAAACUUAAGGCUUCUUUUUCUUUUUAAACUUAUAGCUUUAUUGAAAUACAACACAGAUACUACAUAAGUCACCCUUUUAAAUUGUGCUGCUUAGUGGUUUGUAGGAUAUUCACAGUUGUGAAACCAUCACUAUCUAAGAACGUUUUUAUCACCUCAAAAGAAAUGCCACACCCAUGGGCUGUCACUUUUCACUCCCACCUCCUCCCAGCCCCUGACAACUUUCUGUUUCUGUGAUUUGCCUGUUCUGCACUUAAAUUUCUUUUUCUUGUAGACUGCAUCCCACUAAAGCUCUGUGGUCUGAACAUAUACUCGCAGCAUGUAAUGAUCUCCUUUCAUUAACACAAGAGGUUCACUUGUUCUGUUUGUUUCUGGUGUGAUGGUCUCUCUCUUCCCCUUUCCAAUUUACUUUUUGUUUUGUUUUGUCUUUUUUUGAGAGAGAGUGUUGCUCUGUCACCCAGG